GGCGCCGCUCCAGGGCCGCUGGGCCGGUGCCCGGCGCGGUUGCGGGAGGGCUGCGGUGUGCGCCGGCAGCCGCCGUGGCACCGAGCCCGCCGUAGGUGUGCGAGGCGGGGCCGCUUUCCCUGUGCGGUACGUGGGGUAUGCACAUGGCUCGAGUGCCGUAACGAGAGUGUAGCUUUGGCACUGUAAGUUUAACCCCUUUUGGAAAUAACUUGUUUUUGGAAAGCACGCUCUAUGCAGGCUGGGGUGCGGGCAGCUCAGGCCGGUUUUGUUUCGUUUGUAUUACAUUAUUUGCAAGCUCAGGAUAGACAAAAGGCCUCCCCAAUGCUGCCAGUAGGCGAGGAAGAAGUCUACUAGCUCCAUACUUCUAUUACAUUCGGACCGUUGUCAUAAAAAUGGCCCAAACAACUCACAAAACCCACCCAAAAGCAAAACAAGAAAAUGCGACUCCUUUCAAUGCCCCGGAUUGCUGUCAACUGCAGGCAGUCAUCAAUGCUUUGAGUGCUCGUGCGUGAAAGCUUCCUCAGCCGUGUUGGCAGACAGCAGUUCCCAGCUUGAGCCAAAAAACUGACCACUGUAUACUGGUGUUAAAUGUUUCAGAAGAUUGUUUGGAAAGAAGAAAUUCAGAGGCCUGUAUAACAGCAUCAGUGUAGCAGACCUCCUGUGUAUAUUUCAACCUAUUGGUCAGUGGCUGUUUAAUGCCAUCACUGCCUGAUGCUGAAGGUCUGAUGUCAUGUUCCAAGUGACUCAUGCAGUCAACAGUGCAGACUGAGGAAAUAGGAGGGUGAAUUUGGGAAGUGAGGCUGACAGGAAGCUGACACUGUGCUGAUAAAGGAAAGCAAGGUGUGAAAAUGGACAUGGAUUUGGAAAGGGCUUUGAGGUGUGUCUGUGCUGGAUAGAGGACUGAGUUACUGUCAGAUGUACUCUCCUGGGUAUAUAUUUGCAGCACUCCUGUCUGACAGUACACACAAAAAGGUAGCAGAGAGUGAGACCAAGAACAAGGCAACCAAAACCACCUGAGUUAAGAGUCCUGAUCAGCCAGUGAAAGAACUUCUCCGUCUCUGCUGGAUAUGGAGACUACACAAAUGUUUGUGCUGGGAGGACACUGUGAGAACCAGGACUGGAGAUGGAGUAGGAAUUGCUUCAGCUGGCAAAAGCACCACUGCUGCCAAAGCCUCAGCCCCAGGAAAGUGCUGUGAAAGCAAAGGCAAAGCUGAUCAAGUGACCAGAUAUGGUCUUGGCAGUGGAUCUACUUGGAGCAGGGUGUUGGACUAGGUGGAGGAGGAGAUGUGUUUGCCUUCUGUGGAGCUUUAUUCACCAGCAAGCUUGCAUUUAACUGCAAUUUUCAAGUGUCUCACAAAAGAUUAUCACAUGAGUCCUGAGAAAUGUCAGCAAAGGAACUGUCACUUUAUUGUGAAGAAAAACAAAAAAGUGAAGCUGAGGGACUUUCUGUCCCUAGUUUUAGGCUUAGUUUGUUAAAAACUGUUAAAUGGGGAGGUGAGCUUUUUUCAAAAGGCUUUUUGAUAAAAUGCAAUCCAAUGGUAAUGCUUCCGUAUUUUUCUCUGCCAUUUACACCACAGGGCUGUGGAAUGGGUAAUGAGGCAGCAUUCUGUCUCACCAGUCUUUAAAUCCUGAGAAAGCAAAAGAGAAAUGGGCUGUUUGCCUCCAAAGUGCUAACAGUUGACUCCAAAGGAUCCUUGAGCUUGUCACUGAUAGGAGAAUGCUCUUCUUCAAAUGGAAGAACACUGUUUUGGACUUUAUGGACUUGGGCACCAAUGCUGGCAAGAGCUAGAUUUUGCUGUGCAAAGAACUUUUCCCUGGGCAUUCAGAUGGAAUUUUCAAUAGCUGUGCUUGUUUACUCCCCAAAGCAGGAAUUUCUAUGUGCUUUCUGUGGACAAAUGCUGGUGAAAGCAGAUGCCAAACCAUGGCACCACAUUAAGGCCAGAAAAACUGCUUAAAAACCAGAUUGUUCCUCUUCCCUUUUCUCAGCCAGUUAUCCCUAUUCUUAUGGAAACCUUCUUACAACUGCAGCAUAAGCAUUUGUAUGACUUUGUGGGGAACUGUAUUGCAAAAAUUGCACAUUUUUUCCCAGGGGCUGUUUUUCAUCUGGAUCAGUUCCUUGAUCUGGUUAACCAUGCAGCCACACAAAUAUUUAUGAUGGCACAGUACAACAGAUGAUCUGGGAGAAAUUGUGGGAGUGGGAGAAAGUGGGGAAUGCUUUAUUGGUAAUCAUGUUCACUUAAAAGAAUACCAGACUGUAGCUUAAAGAAGAAAGGAAUAGCAGUGGGAUGACACAUCUGAGAAGGGAGUUGAGGCAUGUGCAUUAUUCUUCAGAAAUGAAAACACAGCUUCAAAUAUCAACUGGUGUCAUUACAGGGGGUGAAUAUCAGCUGACACAGCCAUUUCCAAAAGUUGCAGUCUGCAGGCAGGGAGACUUUUCAGUAUUUUGGUCUGUCUGAAACUUCACUUUGAGGGAGCUUGGAAGCAGAAGAUGGCAAAUGGUGGAUCCAUAGGGGUGCAAAAGGAGUGAUCUGCAUGUAGAUGACCCUGUGCCUCCAAGUGAUCCACAAGUUCUGAAGUGAGAUGCUAUGUGGGAUUGUUUUGGAUAAAUAUGCUGGUGUCUCUGUGUGUUUGUGAGUGUGCACAGAUGGGCUCUUGCAUGCUGUUCUUCUCCUGAAGGUAUUAAUUGUGGGUUUCUUUUGAACUGGUUUGUCACCAGGAAAGCAUUGCACACAGAUUUACUUACUGCUAUUUUCCUAAGAAGCUGUGCUACUUGUAGCACUCUUCUGGGCCCUGCACUCUGCAGUGGCAUAAUAGCCUGUCCAAGUCCUCACAGAAAGAUGAUGUGGCUCCUUGUUCCAUGUUCAGGUGUUCCUCCUGACUUCUGUCACUUGGUACUUGGCCUUGUGUGACUUUGGGAAAGGACCCUCUCUGUACCUGCCCAUACCCAUCAAAACUGACUUUGCUGAGCCUUUGAUGGCCUCUGACAUUUGCUUAAAUAUGUCUGAGUUUUAUGCCAAAAUACCUAGUUCCAGUGCAUUCAGGUUGAGAGGAGAGAAAUUGAAUAAAUGUUGUUUCCUGCUUCCUGAGGCUCUACUGCAUUUUAUAAAACUCUUCAGAGACAAUUUCCAAUCCAGAAGGGAGCUCACAUCAUGCUUUACCAUUAUUAAGCUAAAGCAGUUGCCAAGUCUAUUCAGAGCCUUACAGCUUUUCAUAAACCACAGUUGUGUUUAGUGCUCUAAACAUGUGUACUGAAAUGCCUUUCUGGACAGAGGUUCAAAAUGCUGAGCUAUGUCAAUGCUGCAGUUUCAACUCCCAGUUUGUAUCUUUUCUUUCUCUACAGGAUCCAAGGUAUAACUUAGACACAUCCAAGCUAAUUUUGAACAUGUUAACUCAGUUUCCUACAGCAGUCUAGAAAGUUGCUGAAUCACAUCACUGUACAGAGUAUAUUCCUCAAAUGGCCUUUCUCUAAUGAUGGGGGGAAAAAAAAACCCAAACAAAAAGAAAACAGCAGCAAACCUGUAUUAAAAGUCAAUCAAUGAACCAUAUUAUGAGAAAAAGUAAUAGUAUCCUUUUAUUUUAUUAUAUUAUAUUUCUCAUACUGCAUUGCCUUAGAAUUGAAGGGCAUAGUGUAUUCCUUUUCUCUUUUACAGCUGCAUGGAUUGUGCUUAACUAUUUAUGUUGCAGUGCAAAGACCUGCUCUUGUUCCCUGAGAGAAACACACUAAAGUAUUAUUAGGCCUAAGUGCAUGGGAGGGAAAGCUUUGAGUACAAUUUUUUAUGUAUAAAUAUUGCAUACUUUAUACCCAUCCUUAGACUUUUACCAAAAGAUAAGUUAUCUGAUACACUCUGGUGGCCAGUCUUUCUACAAGAAGAACUCACAGGUGCAACAUGGUGAAUAAUGCAUGUGUGUUUGCCAUGCAUUGUGCUCUGUUUUUUAUUUCUGAUUGUUAUUUUUAAUUUAAGAAUGCUUGUACUGCUUGGUCAAGCUCUGAACAGGUGUUUUUAGUUGCUAGUCCUUUGGUCUCCGAGACUGAAGCUGGGUCGGUUUAAUAACACCCAGUUUCUGUUAAACUUUCUUUUUUGUCACAGCUGUCUAUCUGUUAGAAAAAGGAAAAGAUCAUAUCCUCUGGUUUUUUGGACUAUAAUAAACACAGUAAGGUAGAGGUUUUUGGUACAGAUUUGUGUCAUGCUCAGCAAACACAAACCUAUCUAGGAUGGGCCUUCUGGGCUUUACAGCCAUACAAAUAACUAUGAGCUUUCUGGACUUUCAGUACAGGUAUACAUGGCUUAAAGACUUAAACAUUUUUGUGUAUGCACUUGUGAAGUCAAAUACACGUAAAUGUUCAGUUCAGUCACAUAGCCUCUACUGACAAUAACUAACUAUGACAUUGCUGUGUAUUCUAUCUUCUGAAUUGGCUCUGCUUAAUACUGCUUCUCUUAUGUUGUCUGUGACAUGGUUAGCCUUUUUUCAGUUUUUCUUUUUGUUCAAGAGGAAAUGCCAGGCUAUUCUGAUUGCACCUUUCCUUUUCUUCUGGGCACUGCUCUAUUACUUUGGCUGUAGGUGUUGGAAGAUGAAAUUCUACUCAACUUCCAGGCAAGCAAAUCUCCAUCCUGCAAUGUGCAGAGAAGCUGCUGAAAUGCUGGGACAGAGACUGGGAGAAACACUAAGAAAUUCCUGACUCCCUGUAGGGCACAAAGUGUGAACACAAAGAAGAGGGAGGAGGAAGAUGGAUCAUCACUUAAGGUUGUAAACUCCUCUUGCUGAGGAAAAGAAGGCGGCCUGCUCCCUCUAUAGGCUUCUCUGGUUGUUGCUUUCACGAACCAGACAUCCAGGGGAUCAGGGCUGCAUGCUUUUGAGGACUGUCAAAAACGCUGAAGAAGAAGACAACCCAGCAUUACUUUUCAGAUGCCAUCACACUACUGUAUUGCACCACCGGGGUGUUGCAAAGAAUGCCUUACAACAUGGAGCUACCCAGACCUAACAAGGCUUGGGAGUGAUGUAUUUGUUACUGUAUGCAUGACCUCAUCUUCAAAGGAAGAUUAGCAUAAGCUAAUGAUGGAUGGGAGGAGUUAAGAUGAUGGAAAGGGAGGAGGUUUAAAAUUCAUUUCAGCAACAAUAGGGUUGAAUAAAAAAAAAUUCCAUUA